rnacentral:rRNA from 1 species
GGAGGGUGCAAGCGUUGUUCGGAUUUACUGGGCGUAAAGAGCGUGUAGGCGGCUUCCAAAGUUGGCAGUGAAAGGUCCUGGCUUAACUGGGAUAUGCCUGCCAAUACUGGGGAGCUAGAGGGCAGCAGAGGAAAGUGGAACUCGCGGUGUAGCGGUGAAAUGUGUAGAUAUCGCGAGGAACACCAGUGGCGAAGGCGGCUUUCUGGGCUGUUCCUGACGCUGAGACGCGAAAGCGUGGGGAGUGAAGCGGAUUAGAUACCCGCGUAAUCCACGCCUUAAACGGUGGAUACUAGGUAUGGGGGGUAUCGACCCUCUCCGUGCCGAAGCUAACGCCUUAAGUAUCCCGCCUGGGGACUACGGCCGCAAGGCUA